rfam:Picea glauca, whole genome shotgun sequence.
CAGAGCACAAUACGAUGAAAGUUCUGAGUUGUGUUCAGUGGGGAGUUAUUGUCUAUCAUUGACCUCUAUGGUAGAAUCAGUUGGGAAGGCCUGAGAGACAAUGGUUUACCCUAU